rnacentral:rRNA from 1 species
AGUGAACGUUGGCGGCGUGGAUUAGGCAUGCAAGUCGCGCGGAAAGGCCCCGCAAGGGGCACUCGAGCGGCGUAAGGGAUAGUAACACGUGGGUAACCUACCCCUGGGACUGGGAUAGCUGCGGGAAACUGCAGGUAAUACCGGAUAACGUCCCCGGACCACAGGUGUGAUUCCGCCUGGGGAGGGUCCCGCGUCCUAUUAGCUAGUUGGCAGGGUAACGGCCUACCAAGGCAAAGAUGGGUAGGGGGUGUGAGAGCACGACCCCCAUCACUGGGGCUGAGACACUGCCCAGACACCUACGGGUGGCUGCAGUGGAGAAUCUUCGGCAAUGGGCGCAAGCCUGACCGAGCGACGCCGCGUGCGGGAUGAAGGCCCUCGGGUUGUAAACCGCUGUCAGAGGGAAAGAAGUGCUGGGGGGUUCUCCCUUCAGUUUGACUGACCCUCAGAGGAAGUACGGGCUAAGUUCGUGCCAGCCGCCGCGGUAA